UUUUUUUUCCCCUUUUUGAAAUCACUCAAUCCAAACGGAGCACUAAACUAACUUUCUUUCACUUUAAAUCGCCUGACUUCCAUUUUCUCAUCUCAUUCGUGAUUCUAAACCACACUGAUAUCAUACCAGUUGUUGCAGGGGCUUAGCUGGACAUUAGGCUGGUUCUUCACAAGCAGAUCAUGGAGAUAAGUAAGUCUUUAUGUACACACUAACACAGAAAUGCAUGCUAGAUGACAAGCAUUCAUUUUGAUAAGCGCUCUUCUUUUCUCUCUCUGAACGCAGGUAGGAAAUUCUUUAAAGCAUGGUUAGUUUUUGAAUCUAUGUUGAGUUGGUCUUUAAAUCUUCUCAUUUGGGAUACAUGUAAUCUAAAUUUGUUUCUCAUUGUGCAUGGCUGGCAGGUGAUACUUCUAGAUGUGAUAUCUGCCAUGUUAGGCUCUAGGUUUUAACUUUUAUAAGAUGAGGCAUGGGAUGAUGUCAGUUCUAUGGCAGGGUUGAUCCUAUUGGUAGAUAUGGAUGUGAAUCGAUCAAUAGGAGCAUGACACAUAGCAACCCUCUGAAAGAUUCUCCAAUUGUCUUUUUUAUAGACCAAAUCCCAGCAAUUAGGAAGUACAUUUAAGUGCCUGACAGUGGAUUCUCUGUCCGGAGCUCUCCUGUUCUUUUGCCCUAGAGCAUGUAUCCAUCACACGAUCAGGUUAGAGAGGCUCAUCUUGUGGUAGAGAGGUGUUUGGGACCAAGGGGAUACGGGAGAUCUAGACCGAGAAUCCAGACUCGAAGUCUCAUAUGUAGUUUUAUUUUUACAUUAAAUCUUGCAUUUAGUAGAAGAAAGAGCAUGUUCAGUGUGUUCUGAUUCAUAGUUCUCAUUAAAAUAGCAGAUGUGAUUAGUAUCUGCUUAAUCUUCCCAUAUUGGACUAGAACUUAUAUGGAGUUCAGAGUAAAACCCAAUUGCAAAAGUGACUUCCUUGUAUAUUAGCAAGCAAAUUUCUAGUUGCAAUGCAAAUAGGUUUAUAAAACCUCAGGCAUAGCACAUCCACACACAAAAACCAAGAAAGAAAAAGAGGUACAAUUUAAAAAGGUUCAUAGCACAACCACAUGGGGAAAGGAAAAAAAAAAAAAAACACUAGAGAUUGCAUGCAAUAUGAGGAGAAUUCGUUGGGAUAAGGAAAAUUGAAUCUUUUGAUCCUUAAAUGAGCAUGCAUACAAGAUUGCAAAUGAGCCGAGUUAAGUUAAGCAGUAGGUUAUUCAAGCUUGACUUUAAAACUUAACAAACUUCAAAAUGUGUUCAAGUUUGAUUUGUCUACAUAACGAGUCAAUUUUAAACGAGCUUUUAACGAGCUGAA